rnacentral:rRNA from 1 species
GAUUAUGGCUCAGGAUGAACGCUGGCGGCGUGCUUAACACAUGCAAGUCGAACGAAGCAACUUAUUACGAUCCCUUCGGGGUGACGAUUGUUGACUGAGUGGCGGACGGGUGAGUAACGCGUGGGUAACCUACCUUGUACAGGGGGACAACAGUUGGAAACGACUGCUAAUACCGCAUAAGCGCACAGUAUCGCAUGAUACAGUGUGAAAAGUUUUUUCGGUACAAGAUGGACCCGCGUCUGAUUAGCUAGUUGGUGAGGUAACGGCUCACCAAGGCGACGAUCAGUAGCCGACCUGAGAGGGUGACCGGCCACAUUGGGACUGAGACACGGCCCAAACUCCUACGGGAGGCAGCAGUGGGGAAUAUUGCACAAUGGGCGAAAGCCUGAUGCAGCGAACCGCCGCGUGAGCGAAGAAGUAUUUCGGUAUGUAAAGCUCUAUCAGCAGGGAAGAUAAUGACGGUACCUGACUAAGAAGCACCGGCUAAAUACGUGCCAGCAGCCGC